ACAAAUUGACCGCGCACGCGUCAUCCAAUCCGUCGACGACGGCAUCGUCCGGCGUCGACCAAGUCCUUGACCACCACCUCAGGGUAGGUGGCUCAGGGUAAAAGAACCCACGGCGCCGAAGGCGUCAAGGAACACUGUGCCUUACCCGAGGGCAUGACUAGCUUGCUGGUUGUCCUUCGGGUUGCAAUGCUAUUUAAUCAACACGACUCUCGGCAACGGAUAUCUCGGCUCUCGCAUCGAUGAAGAACGUAGCGAAAUGCGAUACCUGGUGUGAAUUGCAGAAUCCCGCGAACCAUCGAGUCUUUGAACGCAAGUUGCGCCCGAGGCCACUCGGUUGAGGGCACGCCUGCCUGGGCGUCACGCCACAACACGCUUUCAACCCCAUCAUUGGGGUUUGGGAUGCGGCAUAUGACCCCUCGUCUUGCAAGAGCCGGUGGGUUCAAGAUCGGGCUGCCGAUGUAUCGCGUCGGACACAGCGCAUGGUGGGCGUACUCGCUUUAUCAACGCAGUGCAUACGAUGCGUAGUCGGAACCAUGGCCUCUAAAUGAUCCAGACGACGAAACGCUUGUCGCUUCGACCGCGACCCCAGGUCAGGCGGGACUACCCGCUGAGUUUAAGCAUAUCAAUA
rnacentral:misc_RNA from 1 species